rnacentral:rRNA from 1 species
GUCCACCCCAAUCCCCCUAACAUCACUCGACCCCUUUAACCGCACUGAGAACUUCUAUAAAAUUAUAGAACCUUUUAUGCUAAAACUAGUAACAAGAGGUAACCCCUCUCUAUAAUGUAAGUAAAAGCCAGCAAGAACCCACCACUGGCAACUGACAGACCUAAAUAAAAGUAAUAACCACUCCCCAGAAAACCCUACUUCACCCCCGCUGUUAACCUAAUACCAGAACAUUUCAAGAAAGAUUAAAAGAAAGAGAAGGAAUUCGGCAAAAAUUAGCCCCGCCUGUUUACCAAAAACAUCGCCUCUUGCCCAUAUAAGAGGUCCAGCCUGCCCAGUGACUUCUGUUCAACGGCCGCGGUAUCCUAACCGUGCAAAGGUAGCGUAAUCACUUGUCUUCUAAAUAGAGACCAGUAUGAAAGGCAUCACGAGGACUAAACUGUCUCCUCUCCCUAAUCAGUGAACCUAAUAACCCCGUGAAGAAGCGGGGAUUUUUAUAUAAGACGAGAAGACCCUAUGGAGCUUAAAACAUCAUAACACCUGCCAUCCACUUUAUUUACCCAGGUCUACCCCCCCCCCCAUGGCACCCUGAUUAUAUGUUUUUGGUUGGGGUGACCGCGGAGAAAAAUCCAUCCUCCACAAUGAAAGGGAGUUUCCCUAAGCAGUAAGCCACAACUUUAUGUAUCAGUAAGCUGACAUCAUUGACCCAAUAUAUUUGAUUAACGAACCAAGUUACCCUAGGGAUAACAGCGCAAUCCACUUUGAGAGCCCCUAUCGACAAGUGGGCUUACGACCUCGAUGUUGGAUCGGGGUAUCCUAGUGGUGCAGCCGCUACUAAAG